AACAUCGGUAUGUUGGUUUGCACUGAAUUGUUUAUUUUAAGGGAUGUUUAAACUUUACUGAAAGAAAAUAGAAGGUUUGAUGCCCAGUCCUCCACUUUAAAAGUCAUUAUUUGGUAACACUUUGAGAUACAGCCUGCCUCAACCAGCAAGUGCCAUACAUAUCAUCCACAGAUACAAGGCUAAUAAAAUUUCCCAACAUUCUUUGAAAUGUAAUAUAUUUUGCAGUAUUCCCAAUAUAUAAUAUUUAAGUACUUGCAAGUUGUUUUAUUAUUGUAACAGAAAGCUUUUGUUUCAUUAGGGAAAUAUUCCAGAGUAAGACUGCUGUAUUUUUUUUUUUCCCCAUUGAAAAAUAUCAACUCUGUGCUGAAAAUGUCUGUCUGAUAUCUCAUAUAUAUAUAAAAUAAUAAAUUCUUUCAUAAGACACAGUUCUUGUUCAGAAAUCAAAUGCUAGCAGGCCAAUGAAAACUGCCUUCUAAAAUGUAUUGCCCAGUUCUUAAUAUUUAUGGUACCCACAAAACCUGAAAACAUCUGUUCUGCAGAGAAGUGGCUCUUUAAAAUACACUCCAGCAGGGAGAGUGCUCUCUGAAUUCCGAGUCAGAACUUUGCUUUGCAGAGGUUAAGUGAGCAGCCAUGAUUCCCAAAAAGCGAUAAAAAAUUUUUAGUUCUUUUGAUUACAAGGAAACAGUAACUUAUUUCACUUUAAGGCUGGAAUCCUCAGAUAGUCCGUACAAACCAGCUGACUUUGUCUAUGAACCUGAAGUGUUCAGAAAUAUCAUUGGGUUCAUUUUGUCAUUGAAUUUUAAGAUGUUGUUUCUUGCUUUUUGGAUUGUUUAAUAUAUGUUUAUUGUUGUUAGUCAGGUGAAGUUCCACAUAGGAAAUUGCAAAAGUAGGUACAGUGGAUAUAAAAACUUGGGAAGUACUUACAUCAAUGUAAUCAUGUAAUAACAGCUCAGACUUUGUGCUUGAUGGAGGUAUUUUGUUCGGAUUCAGUGUUGUUUCUGUAGGCAUUUCCUCACCAAUUAUGUAUGCAAUACAAUCUUUAGGAUUGUAUUAAAUAGUUAAUUAAAUGGAGUCAGGUUAACCUUUCUUGAUGAUUAGGAGUAGGCAUCUCAUCCACUGGAAAAGCUAAUCGUUUUGGGUGGAACAUCUUGUUCUUGUUUGAAUCAUUAUCUCUGUUUACAUUCACACAGCAUUAAUCACUUGAACCAGGCACCUUUCGGAAAAAAAAAGGGGGAGUGCCCAGAGCAGUUUUUCAAAUGCUGUAUAUUGGCUAGAUCUUGCCUUGGUACAACCAUUGCUUUUAUUGCUCAUGGAGGAGUGUAUCCCUUCAAAUGCUCCAUAUGUUGUGGCUUCUGUCAUCAAGGUUGGAAAGACCAAAAGGAGAGGCUGCAGAGUGACCUUCUGGCGGUUUUUCUGUCUUCCCUCCACCCUGCAUCUGAGGCUUGGGAGUUCUUCCGGUCCUUCUUUGGGAAGAACUCUAUAGCUCAGUCAAAAGGUGUUCAUACUGAAGUCUGGUUUGUUUUGAUCAUGAAAUAUUUUUGUGGUUAUAGACUCCUGCUUCUCAGGAACAAAAUGGUGGGAUUAUGGUAGAUCUGUGAGCUCAAUGUUCCAUGGUCCAGAGAGCACGUAGCAUACUAGGAAUUACUAGAACAGAAACAGAGAAAAAAACAUCAGAAACUUUCUGAUACUGCUGUAAAACCAUCAUAUAUCUGCAUCAUGCAAUCAAAAAUACGGCUGAUGUGGUGAUUGUGAACCAUAUCUCCGUGUUCCUUCUACAAAAGGCCUUGAAGUCAUUUAAAGAUAUAACUUUUAUGCUAUUCCUUUUCUGAUUAAAAUAAUCUUCUGUAAGCAGUUUGAUGAUACAUAUAAAUAUUAUGGUUAGCAGUCUUCAUGGUUAAAGUAAGGCUUUUCUCUUUGGCAAGAGGAAGGCUUUACAUGCAAAUUCAGAUUCCUAAUGCAUUUCUACUAACUUCACACUUGCAUUCCAACGGAAUUAAGAAAAACUGUAAUUUUAAUAUCUUCUUUUUUAUCUGUUUCUUUAUCUUCUUCUCAUUUCAUUUCUUGCUUCCUUAUCUUUCCCUUUAUUUUUCUUUUUUUGUGUGUAUAUUUUUGGCUUCGUUUUUCUCUUGUGUUUGUUUCCUUUGCCUUGACCUUUCUCCCAAUUGCUUCAGUUUUGCUCUUUUUAUCUAGACCUGAAUAUACACAUUGAAUCAUCAUUUUUCUCUCCUUCCAUUUCUACUUCCUUUCCUCUUCUACUCCAGUACUUAUAUUUUCCCCUUUCCUCCCUAAUGUUCCCAUUUUUCCUCAGCAUUUGUUGAUGUCUCUCUUUCCCGUGUACUUUCCUGUCUUUUUCUCCGUAUUUGGUACUUUAGCUCAGCAGGAGAGACUGAACAGGGAUUUGGGCCUUGAGCUUUUUCUUGAUACUGCAAAAUUGGGUAGAGGGUACCUUAAAAUCGUGGGGGUCAGGGUAUCUCCUAACUGACCUGUGGCAUGAGGAUGACUGAGAGAAAAUAAAGUCCUGUUUAACAAAUCUAACUUCUCCUAAAAAUUCAGGCUCCAUCCUUCCAGCUGGAAACAAGAUAAUAUAAUGGGAUGUUACAAGCUGUUAAAAUUUGAGACCCAGGAGGGGGAAUAGUCUGAAGUUAUCCCAUGAACUGUUCCAUUCUUUGUGGGAGGCUGUUAAAAUAAAGCAACAAUAUAAAAGAUGA